rnacentral:rRNA from 1 species
AUACGGGGGGUGCAAGCGUUAAUCGGAAUUACUGGGCGUAAAGCGCGCGUAGGCGGCUUAUUAAGUCAGAUGUGAAAUCCCCGGGCUCAACCUGGGAACUGCAUCUGAUACUGGUAAGCUAGAGUUUUGGAGAGGGAAGUAGAAUUUCAGGUGUAGCGGUGAAAUGCAUAGAGAUCUGAAGGAAUACCAGUGGCGAAGGCGACUUCCUGGCCAAAAACUGACGCUGAGGUGCGAAAGCGUGGGUAGCAAACGGGAUUAGAAACCCCAGUAGUCC